UUAACUAUUAUAUAGUACUCAGACAUCACUAAAAUUCAGAGUUUGAUCCUCUGGCGGGCACAUGCAGGCAGAGCCCACAGUGGAGGCCACGGCCCGCCAAAGCAACAAAAGUAUGUAGACACGGGUGGGAUUCACUCGGCCCCUAGCUCGAGGGCUAGGGCAUCAGUAUCCCGCGCGACUGGUAAUGCUGUGAGUUUAGGACAGCCCCACAAGGUCGAGUAAUCGACGUCGCUUGGGUACACCGGUGAUCGUUUUUUAAUGAUCCUUCCGCAGGUUCACCUACGGAAA
rnacentral:misc_RNA from 1 species